UCUCCUACGGGAGGCAGCAGUGGGGGAUAUUGCACAAUGGGGGAAACCCUGAUGCAGCGACGCCGCGUGUGGGAAGACGGUCCUCUGGAUUGUAAACCACUGUCCCCAGGUACCGUCAUCUUCGUCCCUGGGGAGGAAGCUCCGGCUAACUACGUGCCAGCAGCCGCGGUAAUACGUAGGGAGCGAGCGUUGUCCGGAAUUACUGGGCGUAAAGGGAGCGUAGGCGGGGAUGCAAGUUGGGUGUCAAAACUACCGGCUCAACUGGUAGUCGCACUCAAAACUGCAGCUCUUGAGUGAAGUAGAGG
rnacentral:rRNA from 1 species